rnacentral:lncRNA from 1 species
UUCAAGAGAGGUAAUGGUGGGAUUUGCUUCAAACUUCUGGUUCAUCCUUCUUCUUCGUAUUUUUCUAAGUUUUUGUCUCAAGUUUCUAAACUUCUAAAGAUAUUUUCUUUUUCUCCAAGAUGAUCCUUUUAUAACCUUCCCGCUUUUAGGGGUUUUCCUAAACAUUGGAUCAUGGGAUUCUUGAUUAUCCAUUGAUUGGCCCAUGGAAUCCAUAAUGUUCC